rnacentral:lncRNA from 1 species
UCUGUUUAACAAUGAAGUGCCAUCUGUGGUGUGAGACAUCGAGACAUCGUGUUCAAGUGUGAAAGGAGGUCUUCGAAUGGAUGAAAUUUGGUCUCUGAGAGAGGUGGCGGCGGAGGGACAGCAGAUGCAGGGCAGAGGCCCCCAUGCCCCGAGGCUUUCUCUCUGCGUGGGGGCAGGGUGGGGUGGGUGGCAGAUAGAAGGGAGAGGCUUUCUCAGAAGGACCGGCCACCACCCCAGUCCUUUGCUCGAAGCCUUCUCUCCCCUCGCGGCGCAGAGAAGCCAAUCCUCCCUCUGCCCCUGCACACCUUGCCCCCCAGUCUCAAGGCCACACCUGGGCUACUAGUCACCUGGCCCACCCCACUCCUUUACCCUCUGAGGCCUCGAACCCACCUCCCACAGAAAACAGUCCACACCUGCCUGCUCGCCCUUCACCGCUCCUGACACACCCAGCUGGAAUCUACAUUUCCUUAUUCGCACCUUGGAUCUGUCAUGCGGUGAACAGCCGUCUGCAGUUAUUUCAAUUUUGUGUGUUCUCUCCCUGACUAGGAUAUAGAAGGUAGGAUAUAGACUAGGAGGUAGAGAAGCUGUGAUGAGACGUCAGGCUGGAGGCAGAGCCUCAGAGUGCAGACUCGGGGAGGCCAUGCAAACUGCGGCUGCGAGCUCAGGGGCUCACUCAUGUGUCCCCAGUCACUGUCAUGCGGACUGUCAUCGUAUUUGCCAAAAACGCUUCACAAGGGGAGCUAUAAACAGCAGUGUCCACCCAAUAGGGCCCACGCCUUGACCUUGGAGUUGAAUCGUCAGCACCACUUGACCGCUUCUCUCUGUGUCCUUCACCCUUGACCUCUUUGACAGUGUGGUGCCGGGUGUGUGCAGCCUGAGGGAAUCUGUUCCGGGACGUGGUUGAGCUCCAUCUGCCCUGCUAAAUUCAGCCUCCAAGAGCCCAUAUGGCAACGCCGCAGCUUGAGGCCGCCGUACAGCCAGGCUGUGUGUGCGUGUGUGCACACUCUGUGUGUGUGUCCAUGUGCGUGCAUCCGUGUGCUUGUGUGCGUGUGUCUGUGUGCAUGCAUGUGCGUGUGCCCGUGUGCAUGCGUACACUCUGUGUAUGUCCAUAUGCAUGUGUGCGUGUGUCUGUGUGCGUGCGUGCACACUCUGAGUGCAUGUGUACACUGUGUGCGUGUGUGUUGUGUGUGUCCACACCACCACCAAGUGAGCUCAGAUGGAGGACAGAAGAGUUUGAAGGUGUGGCUAAUGUUGAUCUUGAGAGGCGAUGAAAGGGCGGCGCAGGGUGUGGGAGGGACGGGCCCCUAGGUUGCUGUGGUGGAGAGAAUCCCUUGGCCCAGCUUUGCUUUGAUGGAUGGGUCAGCUGAGGUUCUCCUGGUUUAGGCCUCUGGUCAAAAUGCAGCAGCCUGCUGACAGGUCCUUCCCUUGAAUGACAAGUCUGGCUCACCACGGUGCCCAGUCAGAGGCAUCUGCCCCUGUACCCCAGAUCUUUGCAUUUUACCCAGAGCCCUCCAUUCAUGGGCUCUACUGCAGUCUCUGUCUCCCCAGUGCCGGUAAGUUGACCUCAGCCCUCUGUAGGCUCCACGGACGGACAAGGAAGGUCGAGUGCCUUCUCCAGCUCCACCUUGGGCGGCCACCAUGGCUCCUGCAGCCAGUCCACCCAGAAUGUCUCCAGCUGCCACCAUGUACAGAAGAUGGGGGCAAGAACCGCCUGUUAAGAGCUGAAUGUUUUUGUUCCUUCCCUCUUCAGUUCAUUUGUUGAACCCCUAACUCCAAAUGUAAUGGUAUUUGGAGGCGGGGCCUUUGGGAGGUAAUUAGGGUUAGAUGAGGUCACGAGGGUUGUGACGGUGAAUAUUGGGUGACUGCAUUGAGGAAUGCCUAGAUGGCUGGUAAAGUACCCUCCUGGGUGUGUCUGUGAAGAUGUCGCCAGAGGAGAUUGAUAUUGGAGUUGAGGACUGGGAGAGGAAGACGCACCCUCAUUGUGGGUGGGCACCAUCCAGUCGGCUGCCAGGGCAGCUAGAACAAAGCAGGCGGAAGAAGAGGGAUAGCUUUGCUGGCUGAGUCUUCUGGCUCUAUUUUUCCUUCUAGUGCUGGAUGCUUGCUUCCCCACCUCCUGCCCUCGGACAGCAGACUCCAGGUUCUUUGGCCUUUGGACUCUGGGACUUGUACCAGUGACUUCCCAGGGGCUCUCAGGCCUUCAGCUGCAGACUGGAGGGUGCACUGACGGCUUCCCUGGUUUUGAGGCUUUCAGACUCGAACUGAGCCACUACCGGCUUCUCUCUUUCCCUAGCUUUCAGACAGCCUAUCGUGGGACUUGGCCAUGUAAUCGUGUGAGCCAGUUCUCCCUAAUAAACUCCCUUUCGUAUA